GAGCUCUCUUCACAGCACAUAUACUAAAAUUGGAACAAUAAAGGGAAGAUUAACAUGGCCUCUUGUACAGGAUGACAUGCAAACUCGUGAAGUGUCCCAAAUCUUU
rnacentral:snRNA from 1 species